rnacentral:lncRNA from 1 species
AUACCUUCUCUUUCUUUAUUUCACAGGACAAAACCAAUCUCAGAUCCACACUCUCUGAUUUACCUCUCUUUUAUCCUCUGUAACGUACCUCACUUUCACUUGCUAUUCGUGGGUUUUCAGUUCUUUAGCCUUUAGCUUAAGAGGUCUAAUCAGUACAAAUCCAAACAAAUUACGCUACUGGGCCAAGUAAAAUAGGGUGCCAAUUUCUUAAGGAUGUUCCAGAGGUAAUCUCUCUCCUCUGGUUGCAUAAGGAUGGAAGCUUUGCCUCUCUAGUCUCCAAAGGAUGGUACAAUUAAGAGAGCCAGAGGUAGUUGAUACUCGUCUCAUCAUUGACUCGAGACUGAAGAAGAAGUAGAAGGAGAUGAGUGUCACUGCUCUGCUUUGUUUUCUACUGUGCAUUUAUGUCCAUCUUUUUUCUUAGUUCUCCAAGCUGUAUAUUUUCCAAAUAUGGAUUGAAAACAUUAUUUAAGAAGAAAGUGGCCCCCAUGGGCUAGAAGGAAGGAGGUCUAAUUUCAUGUUUGCUCUGCCUGAAAAGACAGACUUCCCUCCUAAAGCUGGAUCAGUGGAAUCGUAGUUGGGAUGGCAAUCCCACCCAAUCCUAUGAUCUGGAUCACGAUCCCAACAGACUACAAUUUUUAUUACAAUCCAGAUUGUUCAAAGGUUUUUGAGUACCAGGAUUGUACGACCAUGAUCCUACAAUCUAUAUUGUGAUCCUAACAACCACGUGUGUGUGCAGAGAGAAGAGUCUUGUAAUAACGCUAAAGGAAUUACAAGGAUGAGAAGACUGCAGGUCAUAGACUGAACAACAUACUUUGUCCUUGAAGACCAAACCCCAACAGCAAAUUUCUCAAAGCAAAAUUGUACAAAAUCAUCAACAAAGGGCCUUUUGAAUACUGCAAGAGCGAACAAUGAGUUAGAACAAUGAUAUUAGAUUACAUAAAAAAUAUCAACCUUUCACGAAUUCUCAACUCUUUACCUGCUUUUCUUGACACAAUUAAGUCUGGUUUACAUCCCAAGCCAACAUAUGGAAUUAUAUCUGCCAACAGUCCAUUCAGAUCAAGUAUAAGAAGCUUUUUUCUAGAAGGUCCAAUGCUAGUCCUCUCUAACGAUAUAUCCGGAAUUUGCCAAGGCAUGCUUCCAUUGUUGAUAUUAAUAUCUGAUUUAAUAUCACCUUCAGAUACCAACAAUUCUGACGAAGGAUUUCCUUCAUUGAUCUGCCUCUUUACCUUGCCACCAUUUCCAUUUGAGUUCUCACAUGAAGAAACACGCCCAGAAUCAACUGAAGCCUCUGCUUUCGAAGUUUUUAUGGAAGCCUGCGCUAAUGUAACUUGUAUCCUUUCUUCUACUUGUUCUGGUUUACUGUCUGAAAGACGAGAGAUGCGAGCUUCAUCAGAAUGAAAGGAAGUCUCUUUAUGUACAAGGUCCUCAGAAAUGUCCGCACUUCCUGUUGUUAACUUUGAUGAUGGUUUUUUCCUAUGAUCGGUUUUGAGCUUUUUGACACUUUUCUUCUUUGAAGAGGUACUCAUACUGCUGAAAUCACUCAAUAAGGUAUGAGCUUCUCCAUGUACAUCUUCUUUUUCUAAUGAACACAAAUUCUUCUCAAUGUCGCUUUGCUUAACACAGGUCGAGGAAAAUUCCUUCAGAGUAUUUUCAUCCAAUUCAGCGAUUUGUGGAACAUCAUUUGGGAUUUUAGUGAGCGUAUCACUCUUCCCAGAGACCUUCUCCUUGGCUUUUGCCUCUUUUUUCCUCAUCCUCCACAACUUUCUCUUCUCCUUCUUUUUCAUUUGCCUUUUGGUAAGGCAGUUUGCUUCACCAGUUGGUUGGAUCUUCUCAUGUUCCAAUAUUUGAUGGGAAUUGCCAGAGGAACAUGUUAUAUUAUAUUUAACGUCCAGCUCAUUAGCUUGCAGUACAGAACAUGGGACUUCUGCACCAGUAUCACCUUGAGUAGUGCUUGUUUCCUGGAUCUUUCUUUUCUUCUUCUUUUUCUUCUUCUUUCUGUUUGCAGGUAAAGGAUUUAAUUCAUUGCAUGGCUGAGCCUUAGAAUCAGCUGAGGAAGGUAAAGAAAUAAUCACAUUCAGCAGGGCUGAGCUUGAAUCAGCUGGGGAAGGUAAAGAAAUAAUCACGUUCACCGAUGAAUUUUUCUCUGGAAAAUAAUUCUCUUUAUCCAUCCCAAGAUUUGAAACAUUUCUAUUACUCUCCUCCCUCUUCCUUUUUCUCUUCUUGUCCACUACUGAGCUACUACCACUGCACGGCUCUGCCUCCAUAACUUAUUUAAGAAUAAUAAUUGACCCAAGACACUGAACUAUUACUCCAACCCAAAAGCCUAGCGUCCUAACUUUGCAGUCUGGUCCCUCAUCACAUCCUAUUGGAGAUUUAUUCAUGGACAAUGAUCUCUUCUUUCAAAGCAGGGCAAGAAAAUUUUCCCAGAGAUGGAUACUUAAGUUAUUUCAAUCCUUAAUGCCCCUUUGACCAUUCCAAAGCUGUAACAUGGAUGUGAAUGAAACCAGCACAUAAGUUCGAAAUAUAUGCCUUCAAAUACCUUCCCCACAGUAAGAUGCAAUCAGUCAGUUCUACUAAAACACCUAAUUCUCUGAUUGGGGAGAAAAAUAAAACAAUGGAGAAGACUUAAAGCAGUAAACUAGGCCAAGAAACGAUGCUAAAUCUAAGGCCAUUCAAAAUUCUUUUCAAUUAAGCAACUAUUUCCUGCAUGCGCGUUAUCCCUUCUUGCGUCCAUUCUCAUGUGCAUGAACUUAAAUCUAUCAGAUGUUGCUUAUCCUAACAUAAUGAAAUGGGAAUUCAGAACUCAUAUCACCAUAAAACAAUAAUGUUGAAGCUAAUUGACAUUUUCACGCAUAGAAAUUAUCCUCAAUGGUAACUGAAACUAAGUAACCAGAUCCUACUCAGACAAUUUCUAAAAAAAGAAAGUUCUCUUACAAAUACCAAUUCUUCAUCUGGUUUACUGCCCCAAUAUAUUUUCAUAUUUGAAUGCCACUCUGUUUCCUACUCAACCAAUUCAAGAUAUUGCUUCAGCAGCAGACAAGUACCAAAACCACCUAUGACCCAUCUACAAAGCCACAAGCACUAAUACAUCAGUUUGAGGUACGUUCACAUGAAAGUCAAAGAGAGAAACACACAAAACACCCAGCUUUUCCUUUUGAUUACCUCAAGGGGCAGCCACACAUGCCAAAUUAGUAAUUAUGUCAUCUACACACAUGAAUUGUAAAUCCCAGCUGAGAAAUGGAGAGAUCACAAUCAUGAAGAUUAUGGCAAUCAACAAUACUCCAAAUAAAAAUAGAGAAUCUCCCACUUUCCCAGUCUUCCAUACAAGUUCUCAACAUAUUUAGUCAACAGGAACUCGGAUUCGAAUAAGACAUACUCAGUUUCUUCACUUUCUCGGAUAUUUGAUUAACUCACAUGAUGAAAGAAAUCAUUCACAGCUACAAAAAACUAGUAAAAUCUAAGAUGCAAAACAACCGCUGCCACGAGGAGUUCGCUCUUACUCUGAUUAACCAGAGGAACAGUUGGCUGGUUAUUAGCCUAAGGAGUUCAUUACUUCACUACUGUGACGUCAAAUGCCCGAAGCACAUUAGCUUCACAUCCCCCACCUACAGAUAAAAUGACCCUAAUAAUAAUGAAGCAAAUUAGCUUCACAUCUUCCCCCCUACACAUAAAAUGAGCCCACUCCAAAGCAUGUAUCUCCAAAAGCAUCGUCACGUGCAGAACAACAGAAGCGGGUGCUUGUCAGACCCAGAACCCACUUCGCAAAUUUCAACCUUGACGAGGAAAACCACCAAUCUAAGAGCAUCUUCAGACACCCUUUCCCUCCGAGCAAGACUCUAAAGGGACCCACGUCGACUAAAACAAGAAACAGGCAGAAACAACACCGACCCAGAACCCCAAAAACCCAAAAAAGCUCCAAAACCCCACAGCCCCCCUUCCCUUGGUCUCAAACGAGACCGCAGAAACACGCCAAGACACGAAACACGUAACAGAUUGACGUAAAUAGUAGAGAAGAGCACGCAGGAAGGGGUAAACGGUGAGUGGAAAGAAGAGCCCCGCCCUCACCUUCUUCUCCUCUUCCUCGCGUCCUUCAGCUCGGAUCAGAAGCCAACAUGGCAGGAAACGAGAGAAUGCCUCCUCUUGCUUGAAAUCCGUGCUAGUACAGGGUGGUCACAUCUUUCGAAUCGAGCUGCGACUCAAUGAGUGAGUUCGACACUGAGUGGCGCGCCGAAUCGUGGGCGACUCGCCGGUUUCUCGCCCGGCAAGAAAAGAACACGACAUUGAUCUACGUUCCUUACAAGUUUCGCCUUAAAUUUGAAACCUUAAGUUAUUUUUUUUUUGUUUCAUUUUUAAUUAAACAAAACAAAAAUUAUUACAACAAUAAUAAUAAACAAGUUUGCCAUUCAUCAAAGAAACUACAAAAUGAACAAAACUAUCAAUCAAAGAAAAUGAAUUGUUGGCAAGGAAUUCAAUUAAGUAAAUUUAUUUGAAACUUGGAACCUAUCUAUUAGAACAAAUUCCUCAUUUUUGGGAACUUAAAAUCUACUUUAUAUACCCUAAAACUUGGAAUCUAUCUUAUCAUAGGUUCCAAGGUAUACUUAGGUUCCACUUAUAUUAUUAUUUGAACUAUUACUAUUCAAUAAUCAUAACUUAGAUUUAAAUACACGAAAAAUAUGAACCUUAAUAAGGUAUAAAUCUUAGCCAUAAAAUGGAAACUCGGACUAAUGCUUUCAAAUUAUACACUCAUCAUUGAAUAUCAUAAAAUAUCGGAAGAUCGCACGGAAAUAUGAAUAAAAAAAAUAUUAAAACUUGUUUCAAGUUCUAAGUUCCUCAACCUACCCAUUAAAAUAUAUUCCUCAUUUUUUAGAAUCUAAAACCUACCCCGCAUAUUUUGGAACCUGAAACCUACAUAUUCCUAUCAGUCUAGUUCUCAAGUUCCAAGUUUUGCCAUGGAACCAUGUUCACCCUUAGUGUGGCUCGACUAAAAAAUUCUCAAUUAUUUUUUUUCCAAAAAAAAAAAUUAUUGCUUUCUCUAAUUUCAUCUAUCCAUUUUUAAAUUAAAUAAUUAAAUUCUCUUGGUUGAUUUUUUUUUUUAUCGAAAAUUUCUCUUGGUUGGUUAAACAUUCAAUAUUCGAGUCGCAAACUGUAUCAUUAAGGCAUUGUUUGGUAACCAUCAAAACAGUGUCUGAUUCUAAUUUUUUGUUCCCAGAAUCAAUUUGGGAACAGAAUCGCGUUUGAUAAAUUUUUUGUUCUCAGAAUCAGUUUGGGAAUAGAAUUGCGUUUGAUAAAUUUUUUGUUCUCAAAAUCAAUUUUGGACAAAAAUUGAGAAUAAAAAAAAAAAUAUGAUUCUCAGUCUGAGAAUCAAAAUUCUUCUUCUUCUCUUUUCUUCUUCUUCAUCGAUCGCCAUCCCACGACCGUCACCCGCCGCCGCCAUCCGCCGUCCAUCGGUUGUCGGCAACCUAUCCGGCGAGCUCGCUGGAGGAUUGCUAGGCAAAGGCGAGGUCCGGCGAGCUCGCCGGAGGCUUGCUAGGCCAAAGCGAGGUCUGGCGAGCUUGCCGGAGGCAAGCACAGCCCCGUCGGUGGCCAGGCGGGCCUCACCCAGCCCCGGCGAGGCUCACUUGGCCACCAGCGAGACUCACCCAACCCCGCCAGUGGCCAAGCAGGCCUCGCCCAGCCCCGGCGAGGUCGGCCUAGCCACCGGCGAGGCUCGGCCAACGAGGGCCAGCGACGCUCCAAUGAGGUCGCCGGCCCUCAUCUGGCCGAUCGCUGGACCGGCGACCGCCCUAAAGAAGAAGAAGAAUAGGAGAAAAAAGAAAAAAAAAAGAAAAAAUUAUUUAAAAAUUUAAAAAAAUGAUUUGGAACAGAAUCAAUGAACACGGUACCAAACACAAUUCUAUUCCAGAAUCAGAAAUUUUGUAUAGUUACCAAACGCAUUUUUUUACUUAGAAUCAGUUCCCGGGAACAGAAUAAAAAAAAAAAAAUCAUUUCUGAUCAGAAUUUGUUCCCGGGAACAAAAUCAUUACCAAACGCGCCCUAAAUGUCUUUAUCCAAGCCGGUUCAAAUGUGCCUCCAGUAGUUUCCAACUCGAGCUUGAUUAGGAAAAUUAGCGAGCCGCCAAGCCCACCAUCGGCUCCAUUCUCAAGUACUCGUCUAACAUUUAGCGAAUUCGAUGGCCCCUCUCUAUGUGCAGAGUACUAAAUUACAUGCUCAGGAGAUGAUUUGAUUCAAACAAUGAGGAACUUUAAAAAUGGGAAACAUAAUAAGCAUGUCCAGAAAACUAUCAGUUUGAGUUAAAUAGAAAAUCUGGUGUCAUUCUAAGUAUACCAUAUAAUAUUUUCCUUUUUGGCUUAUAGAUGAGUGAACCUACCAUAUUGUAGUAAAUUGCACGUUACGGUUUUGGAAAAUAAAAUGUUCAUGGAAGAUAACUUAGACAAUUAUAUUAACUAACUAUUCAAAUUAAGAUUUCCACCCAUCUUGCCAUAUCGAUACUAAUAAAACACGUCUUAACAAAAGAAACAUGCAUUAUCGGGUGAUAUUAUCUGAACAUACAUGCUCACAACGAGGAAUAAGACCGUCAAGUCUCUCGUCACGGAACCUUGGCAACACCUUCACAAAGACGAAUCAACUUUCGGAGCAAAAACUUCCAGAGGAGGAUGUACUACUUUCAGGAUCAAGUGAAGCUUUUUACAUGAAUCCACAAAAAAGCGUGACCCGAAUCGAGCAAUAUGUAAACGGGCUCUGUAGCCUCUAUGGACAAAAUUCUCCCGAGACUGCUAAUCGAGACACCCUCUUCUCGGUUCGGUAAGUGAGAACUUUUUUCUACGGCGAGAGUACGUGAAUCACACAGCUUUCCUCGUCCUCUGUAGUUACUCGGUGAAAUACCUGAAAGGCUGAGAAAAGUAUUGAGUUCAGUUUUGUCGAUGAAGUCAUAACCCAUAAUGCGUGCAUUUACGAAAUGAGAGAUUAGUCCCAUCCAUAUGUGUAUACAAGAAUGGCAGAAGAUGAGAUACCAAUUAAUAUGAACAAAGGGAAAACGAAAGCAUGUGAGUACUGACGCUGGAACCGCGAUGCGAAAAAAAUUGUAAAGCAAAUUUCGUGUUGAAAUGCACAUUAGAAAGCGCAUUUUGCAGCUCGGAAGAACGUACUGAUGUCAAAGACACUACUAAUUUGCAUUUCCUCGAUCUACAUUUAACUUCAAUGCUGUCCUUGCAGUAACUAGGUGCUUUCUCUUUCCCUAACCUCAAAAUCAAUUUUCACUCCCAUCCAUAGACUAGAGCAAACGGUUGGUGGGUUGAAAUAUCUGUUCAACAUCAUUUCAACAUCCAAAUUGUCCACAGCUCAGCCAAACCUCUGGUAUGAUAGAUACAUAUGGCCUUGAAAUCCAUCAGUUUCAUAUCUACGCGUUGACAUACUUAUCAACGUAUCCCUGCAAAAGCACCAACAAGGUGGCAUUAGGUAACCAUGCCAAAAUAUAAUCAUGUAAUGCAUUUGCAGGAUAUCUGCAAAUUGCUUCCAUCAGGCUGUUAGUGUGCGGAAAGGUAAAAAAUGCUUAAUGUAACUUCUCCUCACUGGAAUUUCGGUAAAUCUAUCUGCUUAGAAGUGUGAGUAAUUGUACCGGGACUUACCAUCACAAGUUUUGUAAGCUUGCGUUGUGAAGAAUCAAUGUAGUGAUUUAUCUUUACUUGAGAUUUCGGUAUGUGGUGGCUCUUCAUAGCUCCAGUAACUUUGUUGACAGUUUUCUUCACAAUAGUCUUAAAUGCCUCUUUGCUCAUAUUCCCUUGCCGCCAUGAUGGCCGUAGGACUUCCCUCACAAAAUCUGCAAGGGCAAUUUUGAAAAGCUUCAUUGACCUAGAAUCCUUGCGCUUCUUGCUCUUCCCAGGGAAUUUAAUCUGAUCAAUCUCCAUCUCAACCUCGGUCGCAUCUGCUGCAUCAAUAGCAUUGCUGACGCUUGCAUUCUCAACUGCACCAACUUCCACUCCUGCAGUCUCACCAAACCCAUCAUCAUCUACAGAUAUGGAUGAAGCAAAGGCUCUAAUCUCUUUCCUUUUAUUGUUCUCUUCCACAUCUACUGGCAUAUUUGAAUCACUGUUCCUCAAAAUGACAUCGCUAUCAUCAACUGAUUCCCCCUCAUGUGCGCGAUCAACUUUCUUGACUGAACUUGAAAAGGGUUCAAUACUGUCAAAAAGUGGAUCAUAUCGAUCACCACCAAUAUGUGGUAAAGCCCAGUCCAUCCACGUGGCAGAUUUUGGUGAGGAAGUCGUUUGUCUUGAUCCAACACUGCCGGUGCCGAUUCCAUCAACCGAUGCAUGACUGAAAGGGAAAGCUGUGUUAUAUCUACUGUGGUAUUCAAAAAAUUUUCAUCAUGUAUAAAGAUAGACACCAUCUAUAACUUGACUGUCAAAACAGAAAGUUUUUCUCACCCCAAAAAACAAAACAUCAUCUGAUAUGACAACAGUUACAGCUCUAUUCUAGAUGAACUUAACAUUCCUAGGGGCUGCCAGGCAACAUGUACAUGCUUGUUUAAUUAAGAAUUAAACAAGCUUGAACAAAAAAGAUGUUCAAGUUGUCAAAACAAGCUGUCAUCCAAGUGAAGGACAAGAAAUGUACUCACUUCGAUAUAGAAGUAGCAUCUUCAGGUGGGUCUGAAGCCAACACCCUCUUAUAAUAUUUCCAGGAUGGAUUUGAAUUUGUAACUGCUCUUUGACCAAAUGGAUUCUGCUCCACAUAUUUCCUAACAUCGUCAGCCAAAGCUAAGCUUUCUAGGUAGACCCGCAGGUCACCUCCAGGUCCUGCAUAAAGGAUUAAUUUGUGAACAAUAAAUUAGGGCACCAAUGAAAAACUGCAACUGAGAGAAUGAGAGCAUCAUCAGCUACUGGAUGAUCUUUUUCUGAGAAAGAUAUAAUAAGCCUAACCAUAAAGUAGCAGAUAAGAGGUAGCAAAAUAAUGCACAAGGCGACCUGCUGACCCGCAAAAAUUUGCAAGUAUUAUGAUAGGCAGAAAAAGUUUGAUCUAUAGCUUAUUCAGCCAUGAUCAUAAGAUUCCAUGACCUUGGGGAAAUCUGGAGACUUGGGGACAACUGUAAUAACAAAAAUAACGGGCAAACAACCAAGUAGAUUUGUGACUGCUGACAAAUAACACUUUCAACAGGUCAAAAGGCGAUAUCUAAUACUUCUGGCACAGUAAAAUAAACAAAGUGCCAACUAUAUGAAUGUCCAGGAUGAGGAACUCAACAGAGCAAAUAAUCGACCAAGUUUAUGUCACUAUGUGUCCCCGGUCAAAUUAUACAUGAAAAAACUAAAAGAAAGCACCCGCUAUCGAUUCAGCUAUCUAUUGCACCCAAUUAGAAUGCACAACAGAAUGGUAAUUAGAGCAUUUUCAAAAGAACUAUCAUUUAUUCAGCUACCUGCUAUGGCUUCUUCAUUAGAUCAUUCCAUGCAUCCUAAAUAAAACAUAAAAAAGAGAUCUACGCGAAGGUGCCUUAAGAAAUAAUGUUGUCAAUAUUUUUAAUUUCUUAAACAGAGAAAAUACAUGCAUAUUUUAAUGUCUCUCACCUAAAGAAUUGUCUUUGGCAUCUCUAUGGUGGUAUGAGUAGGGAAAUAUUCCAGUGUUUGCCUGGAUGAGGAUAGGUCCAACAGGGAUCAAGCAACGUUAGUCAUACUGUUCAAUUAUGAAUGAAAUCAGCUGUCAAGACGAGAAUGCUUAUCCCACUAACCGGAUUGCGAAGGGCUUUGUACGGAGAAUCAUCCAACAACAAAGUGUUUGACUCAUCAUACGCUCCUUUCUCCCAUGGAAGAUUAGGCUCGAGCUUAUCCCACAAUUUCCUAAGUUCCUUCAAAAUCAGGGGCUUAUCCCUCUUCUCAACGGUAGAGAACUUUGUUAUAGUACAGUGAGACUGAUCCUGUACUAAAUCAAUUUCCAUUAAGACAUGACUGCAAUGAAAUAGAAUCUAAUAAAAGAAAGACUGCAAUAAAUUAAAAAUAUAACUGAUAUGAUGUUAUUAUCAUUGAGAUGCAUAAAGGUUGAGACAUUUACUUUUUAACAGGAAACCAAUAGCUACUACAGGAAUGGUUUACUUGCAGUAGUUUAAGUAUAUGCUUUUACUUGUGAGAUUUUGUGGAUCACUAUCAACUAUUCUAAAAGCUUAAAUCAUUAGAUGAGGAUGUGGUUUAAUAUUUAAAUAUUCCAACACUCCCCCUCACGCUAAGUCUGGUAUUCUUUUUUUUUUUUUUUUUUGCCUAGUAUUGGGGAGGCAAAUGUGGUCUAGAAAGAUUUGAACUCAGGACCUCCAGCUCCGAUACCAUGUUGAUUUUGUAGAACCACUGGUCCACUACCAACUAUUCUAAAAGCUUAAACUGUUAGAUGAAGGUGCGAUCUAAUAUUUAAAUAUUCCAACGUUGCUAAUUACGCAUUGUAAGCAAAACUUUAAUGUACUUACGCAACUUAAACCAAGGAUCUAAGGAAAACUACAAUAAGGGAAAGGGGACAUAUCAUGUGUACAAAGUCAAUUUCCAACUUAACCAGGGAUGUUAAGGAUUUUUAUUAAUGUGAAAGACUAAAAUAUCAUAAAGUUCAUACAAACAGGGUGAAAUGCGGCUCGCUUCCAAGGAUAUACCUAUAUAUUCACAGGAAGGAGCGAUGCAAUCACAAAGUUGAAAGAGAACUUAUUCAUCUAAUCAACUACCUAACAAAGUAAAUAAUCAAGGGAUAAAAUGGACAACUUGAAACAUCAAGAGAAUAUAAUCAGUUGGAAAAUAAAUACUAGGUAUUCAUUCCAUCUGGAAAACAGGAGACCACAAGAUAGUAGAAGCAAAAAUAGAAAAACUUUCCCACUCUUCAGCUGAAAAUUAAAGAGGCAGAUCCUACACUCAGGCUCUUAGUCCCAUUAAGCUGUAGAGAUCAAUCUUACACCAAACUGAUGAAGAGCUGAAAAGUAGCCCUUGCUCUUUCUUAAUGGUCUGCAGUCAGUCUUCAUCCAUGCAAGAUGAGCAAUGGAACAAAAUGGACACCGACAUAGAAAAGAAAAUCUCCAUGUGAGAGCUGCUUACCCAACAGAAAAGCAAUUUUCUUUUGGAGUCGCCCAUAAUAAAGUCUACAGCUGGAUCCACAUCUCUCCUGUAAAAUGAAUAACUAAGACCAUAUAAUGCACAGGGAAUAUUAAAGCUGGGGAAACUUUAUUGUGAAGUGACACACACACACACACCCACAGAACACUAGAUUGUCAGGAUCGGGAUCCCAAGUAGGAUCCCUUCGCAAUCUUCAACGGUCAGAUAAAAAAUCAUAAGAUCCUACAACUUCAUUGAAAUGACCCUGAAAUAUGAAAUGCUUACUUAACUCACAGUAUUGUGAAGUGACACGCACCCACCCACAGAACACUAGGUCAUCAGGAUCGGGAUCCCAAGUUAGGAUCCCUUUGCGAUCUUCAACGGUCAGAUAAAAAAUCGUAAGAUCCUACAACUUUAUUGAAGUGAUCCAAUGCUUAGCUAACUCACUGUAAUUAGAUGCAUAUUAACCUUAAAAGGAGGUAUUGAAGCUCCAAGGUAUGGUUCCAUAGUGAGAGAACAAUUGGGUAUAAAUUCUCCAUUGCCAGUUUUGCAACUAACAGUUGGAGCACUGUGUCCAGAAAAUUAAGAAAAUGUAAAAGAAUGAAAUCUCCUUCUCCUAUUUUUAUUUUAUGUUUUCCCCACUUGCCAUUUGUCUAUCAGCUUCACUUGAGGUGGAUUCAAUAGGAUCACAACAAUCUCCAUGACAAUCAACCAAAAGGCUGCAUAAAAAUCCCUUUCCUGCCUUUUCCUCAUAUCUAAUCCUUCAUUUUGUCCUCCUCUCUGGUCAUACACAUACCUUCUCUUUCUUUAUUUCACAGGAUAAAACCAAUCUCAGAUCCACACUCUCUGAUUUACCUCUCUUUUAUCCUCUGUAACGUACCUACUUUCACUUGCUAUUCGAGGGUUUUCAGUUCUUUAGCCUUUAGCUUAAGAAGUCUAAUCAGUACAAAUCCAAACAAAUUACGCUACUGGGCCAAGUAAAAUAGGGUGCCAAUUUCUUAAGGACGUUCCAGAGGUAAUCUCUCUCCUCUGGUUACAUAAGGAUGGAAGCUUUGCCUCUCUUGUCUCCAAAGGACGGUACAAUUCAGAGAGCCAGAGGUAGUUGAUACCUGUCUCAUCAUUGACUCGAGACUGAAGAAGAAGUAGAAGGAGAUGAGUCACUGCUCUGCUUUGUUUUCUACUGUGCAUUUAUGUCCAUCUUUUUUCUUAGUUCUCCAAGCCGUAUAUUUUCCAAAUACAGAUUGAAAACAUUAUUUAAGAAGAAAGUGGCCCACACGGGCUAGAAGGAAGGAGGUCUAAUUUCAUGUUUGCUCUGCCUGAAAAGACAGACUUGCCUCCUAAAGCUGGAUCAGUGGAAUCGUAGUUGGGAUGGCAAUCCCACCCAAUCCUAUGAUCUGGAUCACGAUCCCAACAGACUACAAUUUUUCUUACAAUCCAGAUUGUUCAAAGGUUUUUGAGUACCAGGAUCGUACGACCAUGA